rnacentral:rRNA from 1 species
UCGUGCGCGAAGGUGGCUUCGGCCACCGGAGAGCGGCGAACGGGUGCGUAACACGUGGGUGAUCUGCCUGGGAGCGGGGGAUAACCUGGGGAAACUCGGGCUAAUACCGCAUACGUUGGUAGGGUUGCGGCCUUGCCAAGAAAACUGGCCUCUAUUUAUAAGCUAGUACUCCCAGAGGAGCCCGCGGCUGAUUAGCUAGUUGGUAAGGUAAUGGCUUACCAAGGCGACGAUCAGUAGCCGGCCUGAGAGGGUGAUCGGCCACACUGGGACUGAGACACGGCCCAGACUCCUACGGGAGGCAGCAGUGGGGAAUAUUGGACAAUGGGCGCAAGCCUGAUCCAGCAACGCCGCGUGGAGGACGAAGGUCUUCGGAUCGUAAACUCCUGUCAGGUGGGACGAAGGUGCCUGGGUGAACAAUCCAGGUACUUGACGGUACUACCAGAGGAAGCCCCGGCUAACUCCGUGCCAGCAGCCGCGGUAAUACGGAGGGGGCGAGCGUUA